UGUGAGUUUGAUAUAGCUACAAUAUCCAUCACCCCAUUGAUCACCAGGAUUGAUUUGCCUGCUCUAGCUGGCUAGCUGGGUACUCCCUUCUUCCCUCCCUGC